rnacentral:rRNA from 1 species
GCCGGAAUUGCUAGUAAUGGCAGGUCAGCAUACUGCCGUGAAUACGUUCCCGGGCCUUGUACACACCGCCCGUCACACCAUGAGAGUCUGUAACACCCAAAGCCGGUGGGAUAACCUUUAUAGGAGUCAGCCGUCUAAGGUAGGACAGAUGAUUAGGGUGAAGUCGUAACAAGGUAGC